AGAGGUUGGUGGAGGAGGAGAGGAAGAGAUAAGAGGAUGGAGGAGGAGGAGAGGAAGAGAGAAGAGGAUGGAGGAGGAGGAGAGGAAGAGAGAAGAGGAUGGGGGAGGAGGAGAAGAAGAGAGAAGAGGUUGGUGGAGGAAGAUUUCAUUUAUUUAUUCCCAGUUUAUUACCCAAGGCAUUUCCUGUUGUGGCAUGACGAACUCAUCAUUACCCACAUCAUCAGGCCCAUUGUGUUGUGAGAACCUGGACAAAGCAGCGUUUAACAGGAAGUAAAUACCUGGUCAAUGGUCGUUAAGGGGCUCGCUUGUUAAGGGCUGAUUAGGGGAGAGAUUCCCCCUGGGUAAACUGCUGGGAACAGGUGCUUAUAAACAAACAAGAGGAGACUGGAUAGAAGCUGUGUGUGUGUGUGUGUGUGUGUG
ensembl:lncRNA